UACGGAGGGUGCAAGCGUUGCUCGGAAUUAUUGGGCGUAAAGGGUAGGUAGGUGGUCUUAUUUGUCUGGGGUGAAAGCCUCGAGCUUAACUCGAGAAGUGCCUUAGAAACGGUAAGACUAGAGUCCUGGAGAGGGUCGUGGAAUUCCCGGUGUAGCGGUGAAAUGCGUAGAGAUCGGGAGGAACACCAGAGGCGAAGGCGGCGACCUGGACAGGAACUGACGCUGAGGAGCGAAAGCGUGGGGAGCGAACAGG
rnacentral:rRNA from 1 species